CCCCUCUGGUCCUACCCUCUCCCCUCUUCUCCUCUUUUCUUCUCCCCUUCUCCUUUUGUUUUAUUCUCUGCUCAUUUCUGCUCCCUGGUUUGUAAGUCCUUAAGGAUCCUUAAUCUUCUCCAUCAUUCCAGGGGGAUUGACGUGUAUUGAUAGGUACAGUAAAGAAAGCAUGCUUACUAACGUCUCGUGUGUUGCAGGAUUUUCUUUCUUGGUUGCGUUAGCUGCUGAAGAACUGUGCUGGCCGCUAACCCACUUACCUUCUAUGAACUGAGAUUCUUGGCAUCAGCUCCCGGGUUCAUUUGAGGACGAUGAAGUGCAGGAAUAAACCCAGCCGGUGCCUCCCACAUGGAGAGAUGGAAGGAGAGAUGGAGCGAUGGAAGGGUUCCAGAAACCACAACCUAAAGGUUGUUCCCCUAAAAUAAGGAUUACUUCGAGCAUCACUGCUGGCAGGAUUUCCUGAUAAUUGAUUCUUCUUCCUGAAAAGAGGCUGAGCUAUAAACAACAUUGACCCACAUCCCAGAGAGAAGAGUGUUUAACCUCACACAUCCCAUAAUAUCGCAUAUGUGUCCUCAAACACAUCCCAUACAGUGGGUCCGUUCUCCAAAAACCAACAAGUCAAGAGGACUGCAGGAAUCAGAUAAAACACAUGUCUCUAAAGGAGAAAAUUACAGUUAAAUUACAAUCUAAAUUACAAUCCCAAAAGGAUAAAUUGUGGAUGAAAUGCAAAAACACAGUACAAAGAACAGUUAAAGCUUUAGCCCCGAAGGCUAAAGGAUAUCAAAGACAAAUGAAGAACAAGAAGAGAUUCAAGACAAAGAAUGUACCUGCACUAAUUCUUAACAGUACAUCACAUCACCCAACAGCACUAACAUCGUAAUUAAGUUAACGUCUCAAAUAAAACAAUACUGUCAUGACUGAAUACAGGCUUGAUGAAAUCCUGACGCUUCACGUGUUUUGACGUUCAUCCAUUUACCUCCAGUUCACCUUCAGGACCAGGCAGGACCCUCCAACCUUCCAAUGGAACAUUCUAGAGUCUAUUUUCCACAAAGAGCACAGUCCACAAAAAUGCAGUAUAUCAGAAUUCCAUACACACUGUUGUGUAGUUUGGAGGAGUAUUUUUAAAUAUGUUACUGUAGCCAUUCACCCUGGUGGAACUGUAUCAUCACUGAAGACUUUUAGUCCUUACAUUCAAACACAGAGUCACACAGUGCUACUGCGCUAUUUAGUUAAUUCCAGGGCCACAAUCUUCUGUCAUUCAAAACACAUUCAGGAGAGAAAGGGAAAAGGGAACCAGAGGGUCCUGGAGUCAAAUGGAAGUGUAGUGUCUUCCAAAGCUGGUGAGUUUGAUCUUCUCUGGCAGGAUGAUGUUGACCGAGUGUCCUCCCUCAUCCCCCUCCCUCCCCACCUCCCUCAGCAACUGCUCCCUCUGGUGGUGCACCAGCUGGCUGUAGCGAGCGUUGGCCAGCCAUGCCUCGCAGCGGCCAAAGAACACGAUGCCCGUGGUGCCCAGGAUGACCAGGCAGGUGAGGAGGCCCAGCAGGCCGAAGCAGAGCAGUUGUCCCUGGUUCACCAGGCCCCCUGAGCCCUGCACUCUCUCCCUCAGGGUGAUCUUCAGCAGAUCCCUCUCCGGGGGACGCAGUAGCUUGUGGAAAGCAUGGGCAGGGAGAGAGUAGUGCUGUGGGGGAAGAGGGAUGCCCUGGCCAUGACCCUGGGAAUCAAAGGCUCGUCCGCCUGGCCUGUUAGCCUUCUUGGCCUUGUGCUGGUGGGUACAUGUGGCUCCUGAGAACCCCGGUAGACAAACACAGUGGAUGGCUCCGCCUGUGAGGGGCACGCAGCUGGCACCGUGAGCACAAGGCUGGCUGGCACAGGCAGAGACAGCUUCUGUGGUGGAUGAGGAUGUGGAGGAGCGUGAAGAGGAGGAAGAGCUGGAGGAGGAAGAGGGCGGUGAGGAAGAGGGUGAAGAGGACGAAGGAAAGGAGGGGGAGGCGUCUGUGGAAUUACAGGUUGGUCCAGUAAAUCCAGCAGUGCAAAAGCAUCUGAAUGUUUGGUUGUGGUCGUCUGUUGUGCAGCUCCCUCCGUGGAGACAAGGGUUGGACUGGCAGCUGUCAGUGACACCCAUCUCACAGAAGUCUCCGGAGAACCCAGGGGGACAGAGACAGGAGGGGGUGGCUGCCCAGCCCUCUGAGUCCCUACAAAAGCCUCCGUUCUGACAAGGAGAACUAAAGGACAGGGAUAAGCAGAGAGGGGAGGAUAGAGGGAAGAGGAGAGGCAAAAGAAGGGAUGAAAAAAGGAGAGAUAGAGCGAGAGGAGACAGAGAGAAAAAAAGAAGGGAGAAAGAAGAAAGAAAGGGCGAGGAGUUGUCUGAUUACCUUGAGACAACUGCUGCCUGCAAUGAUUUGUGACGUAAGAGAACAUUCAGAGUAGACCUUCAGUGAAAAGACUUUCAUUGUGAUACUCAGUCUUAUCUGCAUGGAUGGGAUGAACUGUAUUCAUAAAAUGCAAUAGUAAAACCGGUGAUUCAGUAAUAAUUUUACCAUCACAGUACUCACCAUGAGAGAAUUAUCAUUAUUUAUCUGAUCAAUCGCGCUGUUAUUAGGUACAGAUAAGGUUGUGACUGAAAGCUUAGGAGAGAACAGCCAAUCAUUUAUUCCAGGGAUUUAUUCUUCUAGCACCUUUCCUUGCUAUCUUUCUUAUAAACAUAUCUGCAGAUUCACACCACGUUUCUGGAAGCUCGUUCUAACGCUGAUUAAUAGAACUUACCCGAGCUCCAUGCUCAACAGAGUUGGUGAUUAAAAAUUCCCAGAGGUCCACGGGCAGCUAUCGCCCAUGCUAUAACAAUCUAAUUACAUGAUUUAAAUAGAACUGAAACAAAGAUAGCGUAUUGAGCCAGGUGACUCAGUGGCCAGUGACAGAAAAUAAUUGGAUUUCAGGUGGGCCUUUCAGAGUCAAUACCCCAGUGAGCCUAACAAAGUGCAACACAGCCAGGCUCAGAGGGGUCUGUCAGGUUAAGCCAGCCUUUCACUCCUUGGUGAACCAUCAGCACAGGUUUAAAGAAAAGGAGAGAGAUUCCUGCACGGCCUCAGCAUGUCUGUAAUCUUGGUAAAUGAGGCUUAACUCCAGGAGAUUGCCUAAACCUAAUAAGAAAAUUCUAAUGAAAGCAUGACAUACUAAAGGUCCUUACCUGUCAGUCAGACACAGGCUCUUUCUCAAGUGGCAGCUGUCCCCUGUGUAGCCUGGUGGACACACACAUAAGUAACCCCCCUCUCCUGUCUCUAUGCAAGUGGAAUUACCAGAGCACGGCUUGGACGAACACAGGUUGGUGUCUGAAAAAUGCAGCAACCUCUCAGCUUGUAAGCAUCCUCUCUCACACAACUGAGUAUAUUUCCCCUCAAGCCCUGGAGGUCAUUCAGAAGGAACUUACUCUGGUCACACAGGCUGCCUACCCAGCCAUCCUCACACACACACUGCCAGGCAUGCUGACAGGAGCCAUGCAGGCAGCCGGGGAAGGGAACACACUGGUUGCAGGUGGCACCUUGCCAGCCUGGAUGGCACCUGAAAACAACAAACAACACAAAGGAGCCAUGGCUGAUCUUGAGCUAGACCGCUCCGCUGGGAACCCAUGGUACAGGGGUCAGGGCUUAGAUUUUACUCAUAUUUAAAAUUAAGUUAGGAAUUCAGACAUAAUCAAUUGGUUGGGAAGCAUGAGAUUGAGAAUGUGUGAUGUCUAACCCUGUAUCACCAAACCUUGGGAGCAGUGUUAUUAAAAUGACAUAAAUGUGACAAUGAAAUUAAAUGAAAGGUUUCAGCGUUUCAUUGGAUGGAAAUAUAUCUUCAAUGUUGAGUUACAAAUUACAAACUAACCCAGCAGAGCGUUAAAAACUAGGCUAGCCACAGGAUCAACUGUAUGAACAUCAAGAUGAAUGACAUUCUUUGUACCUGCAUUCCCCUGGUUUUUCACAGUACCCGUUCUCUAGGUUGCACCCUGCACUGCAUUCAAAACCUUUUAACAUGACAGAAACAAAAAACAAAAGAAGAAAUAUCAAAAUUGUUUUUAAAAUGUAAAAUCAAUCACUAUGUGCUAAUUAGCCAAUAUUACCAGAAGCCUCAAGGGGAUAAUGUUCAAAAAAUGUUAAUGUUUAAUUUUAGGCGCAAUGUUCCAAUAACUAGUUAUAUCUCACUAAUUAUAAAGUCAACAAAUACAUACAUCCCCCUGUUCCUUGUUAGCCUACCUUUGGCGAUUCCAACAGUCACGCACAGAAAUAAGCACCACGUCGACAGGCACAUCCUAAUUUCCAGCUAAAAGCGUCUUUCCUGCAAAAUGGUUAAAAUUUGUGGAGUCGUUAGUCUAUUGUUGUCAGGAAUCAGUGGAUUAUUUUAUAGCUACUGCGCUCAGUGUGUCCGGUCCAUAGUCUCGAAGAACAGGUUGACGUUUUUCAAAAGUUGAUGCAGGUAUACCCUACCAUGUUUGCACUGCUGCAGGUAUCAUAAUUAUGCCUGGAUUCAACAUCGCACCUGAAACCAAUGCCCGCUUCUAUAAGAAUGCGCUCUUCUGAGUCAUGCACCCACCCAUAAAGCGUGUAGGCUAACCGUUACGCACAGCACAGACACAAAAGGAAAUUUGGCAUGGCAAAACUCUGUGUCAGGUUUCCAUGGAUAAAGAAAUAACUUUGGGAAAAUAAACAAUAAUUAGCGCCUUACCUAUGUUGCGUCGUUGUUCCGCUUUCCGCCGAGGUGGGUCAUUCUGCGUUUGUGAAAGAAUUUCCAUGUGGUACCGCAGAAUUUAUUGAACAUACACAUGGGAAGCUUUUUCGGUGAGGAGAGAAUGUAUUGUGUGUGUGUGGAGACUGCAUCGUCGUGGUCCUCUUGCAACGCUCCUCCCACCUUAUUUAGGGAGAGGAGCUGUCCAGCGGUCUGACCCCCUGAAACACAAGGAGAAAAUAGCCGGGCACAACCAUGCGCACCUCGUAUGUAAAGGGAAUGUUUACCACAACUAAAGGUCACUUUGGAUUACACAUUCACUGGAAUCAUUCCUAUACCCUGUGUUCAUAAUUAAUUGUAUGUAAUGCAAUGCAAUCAAUUCAGUCUAACGCAUUUUGUUUAAUU